CAGUGUGUUCCAGUGAACCAGUGAGUGGGACAGUAGUGGAUUAAGACCCAGAUUUCAGCGGUAUCUAGUGUGGUUGGGUUCACCGCUACACUUAGCCCAGGACAUUAAGGUUCAACAAGUGUGCUCAACAAUAAGUGAGUUUUGCCCUGGAGUGCAGGACCUGCCAAGAACGUGUACUACAAGAGAUUCAGAAGAAUGCAAACCACCAUGAGAGAAAUAAGACUCACGGGAAGAUGAUCGUAGAGAAUGUCAGAGUUUGUAGCAGACUGUGCAGAGCGUACAUUUGUUCUGGAAAUUAUUUAUCAGCGAGUGAUGACUGGAUUUCAGCGGUUUCUAGUGAGGUUGGGUUCACCGCUACACUUAGCCCAGGACAUUAAGGUUCAACAAGUGUGCUCAACAAUAAGUGAGUUUUGCCCUGGAAUGCAGGACCUGCCAAGAACGUGUACUACAACAGAUUCAGAAGAACGCAAACCACCAUGAGAGAAAUAAGACUCACGGGAAGAUGAUCGUAGAGGUAUGCAUUGACAAAUGUUUGUUUAAAUUUGAAAAAGUACACAUUGUACUUUUUCAUACACCAGAGAGAAAUAAGAUACGACUUCAGUACCAGCCUUGGUAUGGGGGUGUUGUGAUCUCAUAUCAGUGACAAAUUUCUCCCAUUCUAUAUGGGACACUUGUCCUCACCUUAUUAUACCCAGUGGGCACAUUAUUAUAGGGGCUCACGAAAUCAUAGUGACACAAUUGCAAACAAACCAUACCACAGGUGGGGCUUGUACCCGCAGUCAGAGAGUCAUAAAACUCCAGACAGACGCGUUAUCCACUGGGCCAGCUGGCACCAUUCAUCAACUUCAUUUUUCCACUUUAUGCAUGUUUCACAUGUUUUGGCAAGAGGUAAGUUACUGAACUCAGGUGAGGGAGUAGGUCUCCCACUCUGCUGGGGCUUUGGUAUGGGCUCCAUCUGACCUGACUUGGAAUAUUUUGUUCCUGUUUCUAUAUGCAAAGGAAAGUCAUGUUUCCUUUCCUGUCAUUGCCCAACUUUGGGUAUUAUUUCUUCUCUGUACAUCAGGAAGCAGAGCUUGAUAAGUGAAAGCUGUGAGUGGCCCUUGUAACCCUCAACAAGAAAAAAACAUAAGACUCAUGGAAAGACAAUCACAGAUUGAUGCACAUUUAAAGCUUAAGAUUUAAUACAGUCAUCAGUAGGGUUGAAGGUGUUUUUGAUUACUAGUUCUCAAAUUUAUUUCUCCACAAUCCAUUCACAUUUUCUUUGCAUUGUAAAUGAUGGAGGUAAUUACCUAGCAACUCAGGAAAUUGUGGUAGAUAUAUAGAAUAUCAAACCAAACAAUCACUGAAUCUCCAUCAAUUUUACAUCGGGUCACAACCCUGGGUUUGGUAGCCCCUGAUGUAGACACAUUGUAGUGAAAUAUAGUUGACCUCAAUUAACCCUUAAACGGUCCAAACGUAUAUAUACGUUCUUACGCGUAGUGCCCCAAACGUAUAUUUUUUUUUUUUUUUUUUCAACAAGUCGGCCGUCUUCCACCGAGGCAGGGUGACCCAAAAAAGAAAGAAAAUCCCCAAAAAGAAAAUACUUUCAUCAUCAUUCAACACUUUCACCACACUCGCACAUUAUCACUGUUUUUGCAGAGGUGCUCAGAAUACAACAGUCUAGAAGCAUACACAUAUAAAGAUACACAACAUAUCCCUCCAAACUGCCAAUAUCCCAAACCCCUCCUUUAAAGUGCAGGCAUUGUACUUCCCAUUUCCAGGACUCAAGUCCGGCUAUAUGAAAAUAACCGGUUUCCCUGAAUCCCUUCACUAAAUAUU